GAUGAACGCUAGCUACAGGCUUAACACAUGCAAGUCGAGGGGUAACGAGAGGAAAGCUUGCUUUCCUUGUCGACGACCGGCGCACGGGUGAGUAACGCGUAUCCAACCUGCCCCCAACUAGGGAAUAACCUUGCGAAAGUAAGACUAAUACCCUAUAAUUUCCUCAGAUGACAUCUGACGAGGAAUAAAGAUUUAUCGGUUGUGGAUGGGGAUGCGUCUGAUUAGCUUGUGGGGGGGGUAACGGCCCAACAAGGCAACGAGCGGUAGGGUGUCUGAGGGAAAGGCCCCCAAAAUUGGAAUUGAGACACGGGCCAAACUCCUACGGGGGGCAACAGUGGGAAAUAUUGGUAAAGGGGCGGAAGCCUGAACCAGCCAAGUAGCGUGCAGGAUGACGGCCCUAGGGGUUGUAAACUGCUUUUAUACAGGAAUAAAGUUAGCCACGUGUGGUUAUUUGUAGGUACUGUAUGAAUAAGGACCGGCUAAUUCCGUGCCAGCCGCCGCCGUAA
rnacentral:rRNA from 1 species